AUUGAACGCUGGCGGCAUGCCUUACACAUGCAAGUCGAACGGUAACAGGUCUUCGGAUGCUGACGAGUGGCGAACGGGUGAGUAAUACAUCGGAACGUGCCUAGUAGUGGGGGAUAACUACUCGAAAGAGUGGCUAAUACCGCAUGAGAUCUACGGAUGAAAGCAGGGGAUCGCAAGACCUUGUGCUACUAGAGCGGCCGAUGGCAGAUUAGGUAGUUGGUGGGAUAAAAGCUUACCAAGCCGACGAUCUGUAGCUGGUCUGAGAGGACGAUCAGCCGCACGGGGACUGGGACACGGCCCGGACUCCUACGGGAGGCAGCAGUGGGGAAUUUUGAACAAUGGGCGCAAGCCUGAUCCAGCAAUGCCGCGUGCAGGAUGAAGGCCUUCGGGUUGUAAACUGCUUUUGUACGGAACGAAAAGCCCCGGGUUAAUACCCUGGGGUCAUGACGGUACCGUAAGAAUAAGCACCGGCUAACUACGUGCCAGCCGCCGCCGUAA
rnacentral:rRNA from 1 species